rnacentral:rRNA from 1 species
AUGUUGAGCACAAUGAGGAACAUGCUUCCUCAGUGGCAACAGAGCGAGUCCUAUGCUUUGAAUAUACAAAAAGUGGAAGCCUUGAUAAACAUAUUGCAGGACGAACCUUGCCGACUUGAUUGGUCCACACUUUACAAAAUUAUUAAAGGGACUUGUGAGGGCUUAAAUCACCUUCUCAGUGCACAGCAAAAACCUAUUCUCCAUCUAGACUUGACACCUGCUAACAUUUUUCUGGUUAAUGGCAAGACACCUAAAAUUAUAGGUUUUGGUUUGUGGAGACUUAUUGAUUCGGCAAAAAUGCAUCAAACAGAGAUCUUCAAAGAAACACACGGGUACAUGCCACCGGAAUAUGUCGACACUGGCUUUAUAUCAAACAAGUUUGACGUGUUCAGUUUGGGCGCCAUAAUUAUAAAGCUGAUGGCCGGAAAUAUGGGCUACUCUCGUUGUUUCGAAAUGUCUCACAAAGAGUUUAUUCAACAUGUUAGUGACAAUUGGACGAAAAGGUUGCAUGCAAUGCCAGGAUACUCACCAUACGAAAUAGGCAUCCUACGAGUGAGUACAUGUGUUGAGAUUGCAUUAAGAUGUGUGGACAACGACCGAGAGAAAAGGCCAUGUAUAGAAGACAUUGUUCAUAAACUGGGGGAACUAGAAGCUAGGAUUAAGACAAUAAUGUUACUACCUCAUGAUCAUAGGCGGGGUCUCUUGACUAACCUGGGCCCUGUCCCGUACUUUCGAAAACAUAUCAGGCUAUAUAUGUCCCACAACUUGGCCCAAGAUGGAGCAGUUACAGGGUAUAAAUCUAAUCGGCUUAGGCUUGAUUCUCAGUCAGGCUCCACUAGUACUACUCAUGGACGUAAGUCAGAAGACCCAAGUCUCCAGACCGGAUGCAUUCCACACCAUAUGUCAUUACAGCAUUUGAAAGACAUCACAAACAAUUUCUCUGAUGAUCGAAUAAUUGGUAGAGGUGGGUUUUCUGUGGUAUAUAAGGGAAUACAACCAAGUGAGGAAAUGGUUGCAGUGAAGAAGUUUGUGCAACCAACGAGCUCACAGGAGGAAUUCGAGAACGAGCUUAAACUCCUUAUGGAACUGAAGCACCCAAAUAUAGUGCAACUUGCAGGCUACUGCUAUGAAACGCGGAAACUACAUAUGUUUCAUGAAGGAGAAUACAUUUUUGCUGAGGACACUCAAACUUUGCUCUGUUUAGAAUGUCUGCCUAAUGGAAGUCUUGAGAACUAUAUUUCAGAUGCAUCUUCUAGACUUCAUUGGUGCACACGCUACAAAAUAAUUGAGGGGAUUUGUUGUGGUCUACAAUACCUUCAUGAGCAAUCUAAAGAUCCCAUUCUUCAUUUGGACCUAAAACCCGCGAACAUAUUGCUUGAUAAAAAUAUGUUACCAAAAAUUACAGACUUUGGUCUGUCAAGACUGUUUGAUCAAAGCCAAACUAUUCAUACUGCACGUACUUGUGGAACACUAGGUUACAUGGCACGAGAAUUUCUACAAGGUAUAAUCACACCUAUGUCAGACAUAUUCAGUUUGGGUGUAAUAAUUUUGGAGGUAAUAACGGGUCACAAGGGGUACCCAGAUGAUAUUAGAACAUCUUCCAAGAUCUUCAUCGAGCCCGAACUUCAAAAAUGGAGAAAUGUGCUGCAAAAUGAACCAGGGUAUAGAUCAAUCGAAAAGGAUUGCCAACAAAUAAAAAGAUGCAUUCAGAUAGGCCUAAUCUGCGUGAAUCAUGACCGGACCAAAAGGCCUACAAUGAAGAAAAUUAUCGAUAUGCUUCAAGGCUUGGAAAGUAUGAAUUGGCACAUUAGCAACGAGUUAUCAAGCCAUGACAUCCAGCCGGAGGUUUAG